rnacentral:pre_miRNA from 1 species
AGUCCCUUGUUGGAGAAGCAGGGCACGUGCAAACCGAUCCACUCCGGCCUAUUUGCACGUGCUCCCCUUCUCCAACUAGGAUUC